UGACGGUAUUAGGAGAGGCAUUGGUGCCCUGCUCUGCUGCAGAACGCGUCUGCUCCAGACUCAGCGAAUCCCUUGGAUUGGGCUGGAGAUAUUUCCUAGAGCCAGAACUUCUCUCCUGGGGCAGGAAGCCAAAGGUCCAGGUCCCCACGGGGUGGGCACGUCGGUCAGAGCGAGCAUCUCGGUGCGUGGCAGAGAAGCUGCUGCUUCCCAUUGCUUAGCAAGGGGGGGAGCCGGGGCUGAGCCGCAACCUGCACAUGGCAGCUUUCAGGACCUCCUGCCACCGUGGAGCUGGCUUUGGGUAACGCUGGUGUAUUGGCUUUAUGUGCCAAGGUUUGGUAUGUGGCUGCCAAUUGAGUGAUGCUGAUUGUGCCUCGGAGACAGCAGACUUCAGAAAAGAAAAGGAAAACAAAGAAACAAACAACCAAACAAACAAAAAAAAAAAAAAAACUGCUGUGAACAACAGCUGAAAACAGCAGCUGAGAAGAGGAAGGAGGAACACAGACAGAAACAGCCCUGCAGACACAAGGGGUGGAGCAAGGCUGCAGGAAGGCACAGCCGGCACAGCCCGCCCCUGCUGCUGCUGCUUUGGGAGAACAACGGAACCGAGGAUGAAAAAGAAUUUCCCUGCUAGUUUGUGUUAGCUCCGAAGAGCCAUGCGCCUCUACAGUUGUGCUGCUACUUUUAGAAGACAAAGCAAGAUUUUUCCUUCUGUUUAAUUACCGGCUGGUCCAUCGCUGCUAGUGACCCUGCUGAGAGCGUUGCUGCAGAAGGAGCUCAACCCUCGUGGUGGUUUGAAAGCACCUGUGGCUCUUUGCCAUGUCCUUCGCAGGCUACCUGCUGCUGCUUUUGCAGGUGUCCUGUCUUGCAGCAGAAAUGACAGUGCAAUGGGUAGAGGAAGGAUCCUCUGUCAUGAUGCACGCACCAGCUAUCAGGAACAUCAACUUGGCCAAGUGGGAAUACAUAAGAGAGAACAUCCCUGAAUUAAUCCUGCAGUACUACGCAGAGUCGCAGUCAGUAACCAUUUACCCAGCUUACAAAGGCAGAGUGGUUUUCAACCAAAACAACGGCUCCCUUGUCCUGCAGAAGCUGCGAGAGACGGACAGUGGCACCUAUAAAGCAACAGUUAACUCGAUGCAGGACAAAGCAGCAACAACCAAUCUUACAGUGAUCAAGCCCUUGCCCCAGCCCAAGCUCCUGAGCAGCUCAAACCUGGAUGGUUCACUCAUCAACCUGACCUGCGUGCUGCCAGAAGGAACGGUGGCUGAUGUCUCCUGGAAGAAGGAUGGACAUCCCCUUCCUCCCGAAAAGUGCUUCCAGCUCACUGGGAAGAACACUGUGCUGCAGAUAAGGAAGGCAGAGAAGUCGGAUUGCGGCUCCUACUCCUGCAUAAUCAACAACUCCAUAAGCUGGAAGGAGGCAGCCCUCAACCUGACCGUGACAGGUCUUACACCUCCUACCUGUGCUGCACAGAUGAUGACCGCUGCUGCGCUGGUGCUCACUGCCAUCUCUGCCGUCCUCUUCGUUAUCCGGGUCGCUCAGCUGGGGAAGCUCAGACUCGGAAAGGAAGCGUGGGAAUGGUUAAUGAUGUCCUUACUGGUGCUGCUGUGCACCUCUUCUCUCCUCCUGUUGCCUGUCUCUGUCAUCUGGAUGCAGGAAGAUGGUCAUUCUGCUGCCUUCAUCCUGCUCGGGCUUAUCCUCUCAGCUGGGAUCGUGGCUAAGGCACUGACGGCGGUGGCGAUGUCGCCGUGCAGACCAGCAGUGCUCACACACUUCAGGUCCAAAGGCUGGCACCGUGUCAUCCUGUGCAUUACAGCCACGAUGCUGGCAGUCAACCUGCUGUUCAGCAGCCUCCUGCUCCACAACUUCUAUCAGCUCCAUGAGCGGGGCUGCUCAGAGGCUGUCAAUCUGACCAUCGGCUUCGUCAUUCCUGCUGUAGCAGUCAUCCUCAUGCUACUGCUCCUCUUCCUGUGGUCUUACAAGAAAAACCAGGAGAGGCAUCAGCAGCUGGACCCCCAGGAGGUCACCCACAGCUUACAGACCACGUCCACCUUGGUGACUUCCAGCACGCAUCAGCUGUCUCCUUCUCCAGUUGCUGCAGAUACUCGUCAUGUAACAAUGAAUAUUUAAUACUCACCGGGAAGCAUCCAUCUGCCUUCCUGCAGAACGGCACGGGUGGAUUUGUCACCACCUGGGGGGUGACAUCAGAAGAACCAGUCAUUGGAAAAGCUGGUACAUUCCUCCUAGGCCAGUCCAGACACUGAACUAGUGCCAAAGUGGAUACUGGAUGAUUUGAGUCUUAAGGAUUCUUUGUAAUACAUCUAGGUUAGAUUGCAGCUCUUUUCUAAGGGAGCUUCCCGUAGUUCCCGACUGCAUAUCUCCUGUCCUGCAGAUCACUGAUGGUGCUCGAGAGCCUUUCCUUUUCCUCCAGCUACGGUUGGGUUGGGCAUUAACACUGGAAUGGGCUGGUACAGCCUCACUUGUUCCCCACAUUGGGUGCCAUUUGUGGUGACCGAGUGCACGGACUCUUCGUGUGAUCAAGUCUCUAUUGCAACCCGGCUAUGCUCCUUUUACACACUUCCCUUCAGAGGUUUUCCUUCCACAAAUCCUCCAGCCCCGUUUACAGUCCUUUGAUCCUUGUAUUUCUCAGGCUGGUAGGUACCUUACUGCAACCUCCUGUUCCCAUGCUGGGUUUUGGUCACACUUUGUUACUUUCCUCUUUCCUGGGCCUCGUGGCAGUCCUUGCUCUCACCUCCUCUUGUUAUUCCGUAUGCCUCAGACUCUGUG